rnacentral:tRNA from 1 species
GUGGUUGUGGCUCAGUGGUAGAACACUCACCAAGAAAGUGCGGGGUCCUGGGUUCGAUCAUUUCAGCACCACA